CAAUGGAGGAAACUCUGAACCAGCUAUGCCGCGUGUAGGAAGACAGUCUUUUAGAUUGUAAACUACUUUUACAUAGAAAUAAAAGUUACUACGGGAUAGUAACCUGAAGGUACUAUGCGAAUAAGUGUCGGCUAAUUUCGUGCCAGCAGCCGCGGUAAUACGAAAGACACAAGCGUUAUCCGGAUUUAUUGGGUUUAAAGGGUGUGUAGGUUGUUUAUUAAGUCAGUAGUGAAAGCUUACAGCUUAACUGUAAAAUUGCUAUUGAUACUGAUAAGCUUGAGUAAGAUUGGAGUAUCUGGAAUGUAUGGUGUAGCGGUGAAAUGCAUAGAUAUCAUACAGAACACCAAUAGCGAAGGCAGGAUGCUAAAUCUUCACUGACGCUGAGGCACUAAAGCGUGGGUAGCGAACAGGAUUAGAUACCCUGGUAGUCCACUGCCCAAACUAUGAUCACUAGCUAUUGGAAAAAUUAUAUUCAGUGGCUAAGCUAAAGCGAUAAGUGAUCCACCUGGGAAGUACGAUCGCAAGAUUGAAACUCAAAGGAAUUGACGGGGUUUCGCACAAGCGGUGGAGCAUGUGGUUUAAUUCGAUAAUACGC
rnacentral:rRNA from 1 species